GCCGCUUUAGCUCAGUUGGUAGAGCAACGGUUUUGUAAACCGUAGGUCUUCAGUUCGAAUCUGAAAAGCGGCUCCA
rnacentral:tRNA from 1 species